UACGGAGGGCGCAAGCGUUGUUCGGAAUUACUGGGCGUAAAGGGCGUGUAGGUGGCUUGGAAAGUCGGGUGUGAAAUCCCGGAGCUCAACGCCGGAACUGCAUCCGAUACUGCCAAGCUUGAGUCUCGGAGAGGAUGGCGGAAUUUCCGGUGUAGAGGUGAAAUUCGUAGAUAUCGGAAGGAACACCAGUGGCGAAGGCGGCCGUCUGGACGAUGACUGACACUGAGACGCGAAAGCGUGGGGAGCAAACAGG
rnacentral:rRNA from 1 species